CUCCUCACAGUCCCUCCCAGCCGUGAUGCAGACAAGCCCUGUGUGCAGCAUAGUAAAGGGACAGCAUCGAAGCAUCACGGUACACUCCACCUUUGCUGCAAAGGGCAGUGUCAGCACAAGAAGGUUCUGUUUGCAGAGAGCAGGUUCACUGCAAGGAGCUCAAAGAAGCUAUAGCCCCAUCCAGCCCCACUGUGAUGUGCCCACAGGACUCAGGUUCUGGGCCUAACCACCCAGGCCAAGGACUCUGGGCUUGGAGAAGAGGGAAGCAAUUCCACAGGAAAGGAAGUCCUCGAUGUCUCCUACAAAAGUCAGGGCCAGUGAGAAGAACAGAGGGCACCCCAGAUAUUUCAAACAGAAGAAGUUUAAUACGGGCAAUUGGUUACCCAGGAGAGGAAAGAGCUGAAAAGCCAAACAGCGAAUGGUAAGACAGUGUAGUCUGGGCAUGAGCUACUACCAGGUCAGGGUGGGGCAACACACGGAGGAGGUGACAAUUCUGCUUGGGGGUGGUGGAAUCAUGGCAGGAGCCACUGCAUGGCUGAACCACAGAGGACUGGGUAGUUUUGUAGGAGCUGAAGAUGAGAAGACAGCACUGGAACAAUGACACCCUCCCCCCACGAAGCAGAGGGAGAGGGGGAGAAACAGUCUGAUGUCUCCCACCUCCCCAGACCUCUCCCAGUACUUCCCAGUGGCCCAGCCUAGCAUGAAGCCAGUUGGCAAAGGAGCCUGGGAAAAGCGGUUUGCAGGAGGUGGGCUGUCACAUAUGAAAGCAAAUGAGCAAUGCCCAGCACUUCCCCCUGUCACACUCUGCAUGGGGUGAGAACUCAGGAAAAGCAAAGAAAUAUUUGGCACUGUCCCCGGGACUAUGGAUAUGACUAAGUUUUGAUAAGAGUUUAAUGGACCGCGCGCACACACACCUUUCCCGGUGCCACCUGCUUCCUAAGUGUGGCUAAGCAGUCCCCACCCCAGCCCAGCGAACUCAGGACAAGACCCUUGUGCUGGAGUCCAGGAAACUGAGGCUUGCAGAAGGGAAGUAGCUUCUCUCAGGCCUCACAGCUGGAAGAUGGCAGAGCCUGGGCUCAUAUUCACAUUGGUGUGACUCCAGGGCCCGUGGGCCUGAGAGAGAAAUGGUUAGGAAUUGAAGAGGUAAAGCAGAUGAAUGAAGAUGGUACCACUAGGAAGUAGGAUAUGACUGAGUCUGCGCUGCCUCUGUGGCACUCCCUCCGACCCUCUCCCUUGUGGUCUGGCCCUCCAGACUCCUUCUUUAUCUCAGUGGCCCACACCACCCAUCCCCACUGUGAUGUGGAGUUGCCUUCUCCUUGUGUCUCCCCUCUGAUAAGUCACCUCCUCCUGGCAGCCUCCAAACUUGGAGCUGCCCCAGCUUCCUGCUAUUGCUGGCCUCUGGGCUGCAGUACCAUCUCCCACUGGGUUUCUCAGCUCUUCUAUCCUUCUAGCCAGCCCCCUAUAUUAACUUCUCUCCGUUAGGAACCUAGUGUUUUGGUUUUCCUGCUGAUACCUCGCCUGGUACAAUUGUCACCAGUUAUUGUGGGAUUCCUUAGACGAGGAAUGCUUCCACGUGCCUCUCAUGUGUUAAAGCACAAGGUAGGAACCCUCGCCGCACUUGACAGAAGCAGAAGUAGAAGUAGGGCAUCUGGAGAGGAGAAGCCACUGGCCUGCAGUCACACAGCUAAUGAGAGACAGGGCUGGGCUCCCAGUCAGGGGGUAGAAAUCCAGAGCCCACGCCCUGCCUACCGCCUGGCCUGCCAUUGGCCAUCCUGACUGCCAGAUGACUGCCUAGGUGCCAGAACCCUGCCCUGAUGGCAGCCUCUGUGACAUCUCCAUCUGGCUGCUCUGCCCUACAACAGCCCUCAGUGACAUGACUGUGGAUGGCAUCUCUGCACCUGCUCUCCAGCUGAAGACCCCAGUGUCUGCUGAGGGGCCAGUAGGGGAUUUCGGACCCUUCACGCUCCGUGGCCUCCUCGCUCUUCUUCCUCACUCCAGCGUCUCUUCCUGCCAGCCUCUUCCGCCCCUGCCACUCCUGGCAUGCCACUCCAUGCCAGAACCCUCGAUGACUCAUCCACAUAGAGCUUUCGCUUCCUCCUUCUUGUUAAAGGCUCUUGGCCUGCUGCAGCUGCAGAAAGGAGGUGCCUCCUUGGGGGCUCGAAGGCCCGGAGGAGCAGCCAUGGGCCCUGCUGAGGGCUCAGGGCCCAGACGCAAGGAGCUGGGGUGCUGUCCCUGUGGAGCAUAAGGUGGCAAGAGGGCUUCUCAGGCUCCCUGCCAGACACUGGCCUGGGCCAAACUCUCUCCAAAUGGCCGGUCACCUACACAGGCUGGCAUACCGGGGGCCGACCUAGAAUUUUUAAGCUGGAAUUGUGCCUCUCCUACUUAUGAGACAUCAGAGGGACCCGUCUUCAUUCAUUUGUUCGUUUGUGCAUGGAUGCUUCAUGACUUUCUCCCUCUGUUCCCUCAUUUAACAAAUCUGUCCUGGUCUCCUAGGUACCAAGUAGUCCCUAGUGGACCAAGAAACCGAAGUUCAUUCUCUGCCCAUGAGGAUCUCCCAGGUGAGGGGGUGGGAAGUGAGGUUGAGGGACAGAUCUGUAAACAGAGAACCUGAGUAGGGUUAAAGAAAACCCAAAACAGGGACGCCUGGGUGGCUCAGCCGUUGAGCAUCUGCCUUUGGCUCAGGGCGUGAUCCCAGGGUUCCGGGAUCGAGUCCCACAUCAGGCUCCUUGCAUGAUGCUUCUCCCUCUGCCUCUGUCUCUCUCUGGCUCUGUCUUUCAUGAAUAAGUAAAAUUUAAAAGAAAAAAAGAAAACCCAAAACGGUAGGGAAGCCUUGGGGGUACUUCUGAGAUCUCUUCAUACAGUUUACCAGACAUGUGUACACAGAAAUGCUUCCUCAUUACAAGCUGGCUUCCUCUCCCUUUAGAGCAUUCUAUAGCGACCAGCUGCUCCAAGGGCAAGGCUAAAAAUUAAACUUCACUGAGCCUCCUCGGUGCAGGUGUGUUGUGCAACUUCGAGGGGUUGGGGAGGGCCCAUUCAUAUCCUAGUCUAAGGGGAUGGCAUCUGGUUGAAUGACCCUGCUGUGGAGCCAGACCUGGGUUACACUUAGGGUCAUUUUCUUACCAUGUGACUUUAAGGAAGUUGGUCAUCUCUGAGCCUUGGUUUACUCAUCUGUAAAAUGAAGCUAUUGAUAACGUCAGUGUUGUGUUUUUGCAAGAAUUCAAUGAGAUCAUCCAUGCAGAGCACCUGUACCAUGUAAACAUUGAAGCACUUGGUAAAUGCCAGCUGUCAUAACAAAUACUACUGUUUACAAUGAGGUUCUAUGGGUGCCUGAAUCCCCCCCCACCCCCAUGUAUGUGUCUGUCUGGCUGUCUCAAGGGUGGUCAGGGAAGGCUUCCCCAAAGAGGUGACAUUGACCUUGUGUCUUGAAGGAGAAAGUGGGGGAAAAGCAUUCCAGGUAAGGGGAAAGGCCAGAUGAAGUCAGGGUGUGGGGAGCACUUUGGGGCAGGCAAAAGGACCAGGCCAAGAGUGGCCUGGAGGGGUGGGCCUGGGCUCCUCAGGCCUCAAUGCUACAGCCUGGCUGGGAGCAACUGUUGGAUCUGGGUGGGUGGGGACUGCCCCAGCUUGGUAUCUGAGAUACUGGCAGCUCUCACCCUUUUGUCCCCUCCCAUUUCUGGGCCUCCACUUCCUUCCCCUGCACAGACCACAGAGGCAUUUCAAAGGAAGCUGCUACUUAUUUUAGCAGUGAUCCCUGGACACCCCCACCCACAGCUACCCCUGCCCCUCUAGGCCCCUGUGAAGGGCAUCAGGCCAUUCUUCUGAGUCAUAGCCUCAGUGAGGGCCUGGUCCUACCCCCUUUCCUGCAGCAAGUCAAGCCCAGUCUCAAUGGUUGAAGACAUGGGUUCAAGCCCAGCUCUGGCAUUAACUUACUGGACAACAUCCUAGUCCCUUCAUCUUCCAAGUCUUGGGUCCCCACUGGGCAGGCACUGACCUCUGGGCAGAAAGUGGGGUGGGGAUGGAUGUGCUGCCACACUCCUCUGUUGUCAGACUGGAAGAACUAGAGACAGGGUUGCAGGCAAGAUCGAGUUUGGGGGCCCAGAAGCUUAUACUUUGGAGGUCUGGCCUUAAGAAAAACAGAAUCACAAAUACAGAUACUUAUGAAAGUAAAAUUCUAUUUAGAAAGAA